CUUUACCCAUGACCCAUCAGUCGAGCUCGAGCAGGAGAUGGAGAUGUGGAGCAGUGGAGGAGGCGACAUGGAGCCCACCCUCCUGCUGGUUGUUGCCUGCCAUCCACAACUUUCGCAGGAAUGCAUCGCCCCUAGCUCGCUCGCUCGCCUCGAUCCCCAAGACCAAGAUUUGUUCCGAUCCUCUCUUUAUAUCCUUCCGACCUGCUGCCUCCGUCCGGUUCAUCCAUCCCAGCAGUGAAGUGCCAGUGAGCUCUCCUGUUCAUUGCGAGGUUGGUAUUGUCUUGGCGCUGUUGGGCGAAACGAAUGGUGCGGGAGGAGGCUAUGGCCGCGAGGAGGGCGGAGCUUCAGCUGCUGCAGCAUCUGGAGGAGGAGGAGGAGAGCAAGGGGAAGAGGAAGCGCGGCCGGGUGGAGCUGCGGCGGAUCGAGGACCGGACCAGCCGGCAGGUGCGCUUCUCGAAGCGCCGGACCGGGCUGUUCAAGAAGGCCUACGAGCUCUCCGUGCUCUGCGACGCCCAGGUCGCGCUCAUCGUCUUCUCCCCCGCCGGCCGCCUCUACGAGUUCGCCUCCUCCACCUCCAGCGUUGAAGAAAUUUUUGGUCGAUACUGGGACCUUGCCAACACAAUAAAUGAUCUCAAUAUUGAAGCAAGAGACUCAACGGUUGACUGCAAUAUACAGGGCAAUGGAAGCAGAUGCGGACGAGAUGAGCAUGACCCAGAUAAGCAACUUGGAGGAAACAGUAACCGACGCUCUGGCAGCUAUCAGGGUCAUAAUGCACAAUUGAUAUUUCUUCUAAUAGAACUGCAUGAACUUGACCUGCAUCACGAUCGUGCAACGUUCAUAUGCCGCACACGGUAGAUUUCUGAGAUCAUCUUAAUUUGGUAAUUGCAGAAUAAACUGAGGAUGAAGGUGGUUGGGUUGCCCCAACCCUAUGUUUAGGUAUGAAACUAGUUUGUGCAGCAGGAAAAAGGAUUUUUGAUAAGAAGAAGGCCUCUGAAUACGAAAGGAGGGACCAUGCAGUGGACUCCUAUCUGGAGAAAGAGCAGUGCGCAACUGGAAAUGGGAGCCGCAUACGGCAUACAGUAUAUUUCCCAGCUUCAAGCCUGCAGACAUAUAUGCCGAGAAACAGGUUAAGCUGGGGCCCUAUAGUCGUGAUCAGCAACUGUCAACUUAGGAAACUAGUUUCCCUUGAACAUGGUCCUGAAUCUGUCAAACACUUCCAGCAUGUUGCGUGUUGAUACUUUCACUGCAGUUGCACACGCACAGCAAGCGUUUAACUUUCUGACUGUGUGUGUGCUUGCAUAGAACGUGGAAAAGAUGAUGAUUUACGUGUAAGAACCCACUCUACGAAAAAGUAGUGUUUUGUUGAUUGAAA